CAGCCAGAGAGUGUUGAAGACUCACCUUUGACACCAAUCAUCACCACUUGGGAAGAAGGAGCACCUCACGGCCAGAGAAGAGGAGAACCAUUUCCCUUGAAGCUGCGAAGGUUGGGGUGUUGAUCGUGAUUUUUNUGAGUUGGGGGAUAGUCUUGUUCGAGCUCGUGUUGUUGAGGAGGGAGAUAGGCUUCUUCAAGUGGGAGAUAGCCUUAUUCAAGAGUGAAAUGAAAGGUGAGAGUGCAGGAAAUGGUUGGACGCGAAGGACGAUUGGUUCAGCCAAGUCUCAAAGUUGUGGAUCAUCUUCACGGUUACCAUAAAAAAUGUGUGGUUGUGAGUAAUUCAACUUGUAAUUACUUCGAAUGGCAUGAAGAAGAAGUUUCUGAAAUUCAAGGCAAACGUGAAGGAGUUGAUUUGUGUUUGGAAAAUGAUAUAGUUGUCNUGGAUCAAAAGAAGAAGAUAGAGAAGCUGAAAAGGAAAUUACAAGAAGAGAAGAAACAUGGGAAAAUGAUGUUGUACCUAUUUGUGUUGUCAUGGGCAUUAACCAUUUACUUUUGUGUUAUGUUUUUACUGAAGAUGAAUUGGAAUUGAGAUGAUGAAAGUAAGGCAGAGCUUAGGUCGAAGGUUGUGUGUCUUAGGUUGUUAUGAGAAGGGGCUAGUAAUUAUGCAGACAAUCUUGAUGUACUCUUUAUGCAGUGAAGAAUAUUAUAUAGCAAUGACAUAUUUUUCAUGAGCACAA